rnacentral:misc_RNA from 1 species
AGUGGGCAUGCUGGGUUCUG